UCACGACCUUCACACACAUAGGAAGCAAACUCAUUAAGUCAGCGGAAGAGGAAGGUACACAAGCUGCAGAAACAUACCUUAAUAUUUGCCAAGAACUUAUAAACACAUUUUCAAUUUCAAAUAAUUUCCUAGAUUUUCAAACAGUUGCAAUGGUGGUGUUAGGGCUAAACAAGCGCGUUUUUGCGUUCGUGGUUUUGAUCUUCAUCAUCUCAAUCGUCGUUGUUGAUGGAGUUAUAGGGGUCGACGAAAAAAGUGCAGAUCUUAUUCAAGACGAAGCCGCCAAGACCAUUCAUCCAGAUUCAUUCAAAACAAAACGAGAGAAAAAUCUCAUAACUGGACAAGAUUUGGAGUUCCUGGUCAUGGAUUACACCCCAGCUAGAAGGAGGACCCCCAUUCAUAACUAAUAGUGUAAUAUAUAAUUAAUAUGGCUUUCAUUUGUAUUAAUACACUAGUAAUUUGUAUUAAUCAUCUAUCAUAUUAUUCACCUGGCCAAUAUAGCCACAAUGACAAUAGGCAUGCAUGAGUUUAUGGCGAGGAUUCCAAAUUUCAAAUUCCUGUAUAUCUUUUCUGUAUUGUCAUUGUUCAUAUUUAUUUGGGGCAACUAUAUCUCACCCUGCAUGGAUCUAUUUGAAUUUUUCUAAUGGAAAUUUAAACCUUUUAAAA